CGCUCGUCUCUGCUAAUUCGCUCCUUGAUGCUAAAUCUUCUUGCGGUGUACAAUGCAGGACUAUAUCGAAUAUGAGUAUUGCACAUAUUUCAUCAUGUAAACUAUUCAGUUGCUCGAUUGAACAUUCCACAUGCAUGAUGACGAUUCAAUUCAAAAUUGUGCUUAUCAAUAAUUUGGUAGAAUAAAAUGAUACUGACUAUCUUGGAUAUUAGAUGAAAGAAAAUUGUCCAAUAUUAACUAAGUACUAAGUAUAUCAGUCAGAACAUUGUAACCCUUUUGAGGAAAAAAAAAAAGAAAAUACACUUGGUGGUGAUAUCCGGUAAAAGAGACGUGCAUCUUUCAUCUGUAAUACAUGAGAACGUUUGAUUUUUUUUGCAAGUCAUGAACACUGUGGGGUUUGCCCUUUCAAGAUGUAUACCCGCUUAACCGGCAUAGAUAGAAGAUUUGGUUUAUGUUGAAAGUCACUUGCCCUUCAGAUAAUAGAAGUAAUAUGUGUAAGCAACUAAAUAUCAAUUGUAAUUAGUAAGGCAUCACUGCAGGCAUGUAGUAUAGAUAAAUGUUCUGAAAAUGUGAUAGUGUCUCAUUGAGCGCAAUGUAGUAUAUAUUUCAUUUAGCACAGGAGGAAGUUCGUUACGAAAUAAGAGAUGAAAAAACAUUCAUAAAAUAGAACAAAACGCUGAGGUUUUCUUACAGUACCAAUCUUAUUAGUGCAUAAUUGGGAGUCUGAGACAUUAUCAAUCAGUUCAGUUGGAACUUGGAAGGCCACCGGUUGACCAGUUGUUGCGCACACCACCAUCAGGAAUUUUCUUCCUACAAUGUAAAGCAGCAACAUCAUAUGGGAUCAUAAAUCUGACAAAAAUAGCGGCAGAGGGCGACUGCCCGGACCCAGCUCUAGGAAGGCCUCUUUGAUAGACUUGUUCGAGUGGGCUUUUGAGGUUCCGUAGAAGACUGAGAUGCAGAGGAUGUGAUGGUGCCGGCGGCAGGUGCCUGGCGCCUUGGCUUCUCCCAGGAAGUCUCAGAUACAGAUUAGAAAAUGCACUGCAUGGACGGUUGAGCCGGCGGUUUUUUGUGCCGGCAUCCAUGAUACGCCAGGGUGGUUGCAUCACAUCACAUAUGCUUCCUCCGCUCCUUCAUCGGCGGCUGUAUGGGUGGAGAACAGGAUUGGAUAUGCAUGGAAGGCGAUGGCUUGGACCAGAGAGUCGUCGGUCUCGUAGGCAUGCAGCAAGCGGUGUGCAGGAGAUGAGGGCAGUAAGGAGAAGCUGGGCGCCAACUGCCAAGUGUGGGCUGCGUGGGGUGGGAUCUCAGAUCGACAAUGGUUGAUCUUGCAGCGGUCGUAGGGGGAGGAUGAAGGAUUGUAAUUUUUGCACGGAAGUGUGGGCUGAUGAUAUAAUAAAUAAAGGUCCACCCGCUCGCCUGCCUUGGUGGUUAAUGUUUCAGAUCGAUUUGUUUCUUGCCAGCUGAAGAGUUGCACUCCUAUGUUGUCUUGCGACGGUGAUAACUGUAACGAAUUGAAUAUCCACUGACCAGGUGAACCAUCCAAAUCGGUUACCAGUUGGGAAAAAAGAAACAUAAGGGAGGGUGGCCACAUAUGCUGAAGUAAAGAACUGAAGAACUGCAUGCGCCAGCUUUGAGAACAGAUGAGUCAGCAGGGCGGGGCAGCAGAAAGGGAUGAGGUGGCAUAAAGAUGAUGUGGCAUAGCUGCAUGUUAAGAGAAUUCUUUGUAGUGGGGGUUUGCUAUUUAGAAAUAGAAGAUUUCUGAGUAUUGCUGUAACUGUAGCCUGUAAGAGGGCUGUUGGGUGCAUGUCAACUGUUUAGCAUUUGGUCUGGUAUAUGUCAAGUUGUUUAGCAUCAUCAUUUCUGCAUACCUGAGAUCGAUUAAAUCCUUUUUUAUUGGCUCAGCCAUUUA